rnacentral:lncRNA from 1 species
AUAAAGGGUUUUGUCCACAGUUCUUCCCUCUCCCUCUGCCUCCUGAUCAACCCUGGUGUUUCCCUGUGGCCUCUUGUGGCACGGUGUGCCCCCUCCUCUUGGAAACUCAUCAAUUGCUCUACAAUUUGGAGAUAUCAGACGAACAGAGGGAAAAUGCAGUCAGUGGUCUAAAGCUGCCCCUUAGGAAAUCUAAGGCUAUAUCUGGUUCCAUAAAGUCUUUAAUCAGUCAGUCAGAACAACUGCAGCAUUCCUGCCGCUCAGAAUACCUUAAUGGCCUUAGUAGCUGAGGUCCUCACAGCACUGGCAAGAGCAACAUGGCAUUGGAAUGGGAGGACUGAAGAAGCAAGUGCUCAUAUCUGCUUUCUGUUACGCGGUAAAAGGGGCAUUUUCCACGGAUCAGAGAAGGCCAAUGUUAGUCCAGCUGUGACAACUAGUAAGAGUGAUUUUAAUCUAGGAAAGACGAGAAGAGAUUUGGAAAGAGUUUCGUGCCGUGACUUAGGCUUAAAAGAAUCUCUCUGGCCACUGGGUUGAGAACAGAUUGGUAAGGGGUGGAAGGACUGUGGCCAAGAUUGGAGCGGGGAAACCAGUCACAAGGCUACAGAUUUAAUCCAGGUGAAAGAUGACGAUGCUUUGGAACUGGGUGGUAUCAGCACCUGGGAAGUGAAGAAAAGAGUCAGUUCUGGACAUAUUUUGAAAAUAGAAUCAACAGGAUUUGAUGAGAUUGAAUUUGGGACUUGAGAGGAAAAGAAGAACCAUCACUGAUUCUAGUGGUCCUGUCUCAGCAACCAGAAAGAUGGCAUCACACUUACCAAAUGGAGAAGAUUGUAGAAUGUAGGUUGGGACUGAGAUACAGGAGUACAGUUUGGGACAUGUUGCAUUUGAGUUACCUAUUUGAUAUUAAAGUGAAGAUCCUGAAGAGGGAGUUGGAAAUAGAAGAUUACAGUUUGAGAGAAAAGUGGGCAGGAGGUCUAAAUUUGGGAGUGUUUGGCAUAGUUAGUAUUUAAAUUUUUAGACUGAAUAAGAUCACCAACAGAGGGAUUGUAGAUAAAGCAAAGAUCAAUGGACUCAUCCUUGGGGCACUUUGAUGGUUGGAGGUCAAAGGGAUGAAAAAUAGCUGGAAAAAGGCAAAGGAGAAUUCAGUGAUGUGAAGGGGGAAAUGAUAAGUGUGAUGUCCUGGAAGCCAAGACAGAAGUGUUUCAAUGAAUAAGAAGUGAUUAAGUGUGUCAAAUACUCCUGAUAGGUCAAGUAAGAUACAUUGGCUAGAAUACAUUACCUAGAUCACUAGAAAUAUGUUUGAGAAAAUGUCAGGGGGAUGAAUUAAACUGCUGCUAUCUUUUAGCCACAUGAAAAGGCAGGGAGAAAAGUGUAGGUCAAUUUUCAGUGGACACAAAAUUUAGUCACAGUUUCAUCCCAAAUAGAUAAACAAUCACCCACACAUAAAUAUGCACUCAUACUUUCUUUUUAUAUCAUGAUUACUGUUGACAGAUACCCAGCUCUCUUAUAGGCCCACAGUACAAUUGAAGGUGAUAUUUCUGUGGACACAAUUCGGGGUAUUUCAUAGGAUCUACCAUGAGGAGGGACAUGGUGUGGCAAAAAGAUGUUUUGUAUUUUACCUACACAACACUUUCAUCAGGUAAUUUCCAAGUUAUGAUCUACUCAUUUUUGCAUCACAUUACCCCACACUGAAUACCAUUGUAGAAUUAUAGGAUAUUUUAUCAUAUGGUUUAUUUUGUAUUCCAUUGAGAAGUGCAUCUCAUGAAGACAUAUUUUGUAAUUCUCAGAAUGACUUAUGUGAGAGCUCCUAAAUAAAAAUCUUGAUAAGGGAAUGUCCUUGGACUAAAAGUUCUACUGAGUUUCUUUCUUGAUUAGCUUAACCACUGAUAACCACCUGUGAACACAUUUUCUCACACUCUGAAAGAUUCUGUUAAUGUUACUCUAAUACUGU